CAAUAGCGUAUAUUUAAGUUGUUGCAGUUAAAAAGCUCGUAGUCGGAUUUUGGCUGAGAACGAUCGGUCCGCCGUUAGGUGUGCACUGAUUGGUCUCAGCUUCCUGGUGAGGAGGUGUGCUCCACGGCCACUUAGUCACCGUGGUUACUUUGAAAAAAUUAGAGUGUUCAAAGCGGGCUUACGCUUGAAUAUAUUAGCAUGGAAUAACACCAUAGGACUCCUGUCCUAUUUCGUUGGUCACGGGACGGGAGUAAUGAUUAAGAGGAACAGUUGGGGGCAUUCGUAUUUCAUUGUCAGAGGUGAAAUUCUUGGAUUUAUGAAAGACGAACUUCUGCGAAAGCAUUUGCCAAGGAUGUUUUCAUUGA
rnacentral:rRNA from 1 species